rnacentral:rRNA from 1 species
AGAGUUUGAUCAUGGCUCAGAUUGAACGCUGGCGGCAGGCCUAACACAUGCAAGUCGAGCGGUAGCACAAGAGAGCUUGCUCUCUGGGUGACGAGCGGCGGACGGGUGAGUAAUGUCUGGGAAACUGCCUGAUGGAGGGGGAUAACUACUGGAAACGGUAGCUAAUACCGCAUAACGUCUUCGGACCAAAGUGGGGGACCUUCGGGCCUCACGCCAUCAGAUGUGCCCAGAUGGGAUUAGCUAGUAGGUGGGGUAAUGGCUCACCUAGGCGACGAUCCCUAGCUAGUCUGAGAGGAUGACCAGCCACACUGGAACUGAGACACGGUCCAGACUCCUACGGGAGGCAGCAGUGGGGAAUAUUGCACAAUGGGCGCAAGCCUGAUGCAGCCAUGCCGCGUGUGUGAAGAAGGCCUUCGGGUUGUAAAGCACUUUCAGCGAGGAGGAAGGGUAGUGUGUUAAUAGCACAUUGCAUUGACGUUACUCGCAGAAGAAGCACCGGCUAACUCCGUGCCAGCAGCCGCGGUAAUACGGAGGGUGCAAGCGUUAAUCGGAAUUACUGGGCGUAAAGCGCACGCAGGCGGUUUGUUAAGUCAGAUGUGAAAUCCCCGCGCUUAACGUGGGAACUGCAUUUGAAACUGGCAAGCUAGAGUCUUGUAGAGGGGGGUAGAAUUCCAGGUGUAGCGGUGAAAUGCGUAGAGAUCUGGAGGAAUACCGGUGGCGAAGGCGGCCCCCUGGACAAAGACUGACGCUCAGGUGCGGAAGCGUGGGGAGCAAACAGGAUUAGAUACCCCGGUAGU